rnacentral:rRNA from 1 species
UAGGGAAUAUUAGAAAUGGACGAAAGUCUGAUCUAGCAACACCGCGUGUGCGAAGAAGGCCUUCGGGUUGUAAAGCACUUUUUGAGAGGAUGAGGAAGGACGGUACUCUCAGAAUAAGUCUCGGCUAACUACGUGCCAGCAGCCGCGGUAACACGUAGGAGGCAAACGUUAUCCGGAUUUACUGGGCGUAAAGCGCGUGUAGGUGGUUCUGUAAGUAGGGCGUGAAAGCUCCCGGCUCAACUGGGAGAGGCCGUUCUAAACUGCAGAACUAGAGGAUGGUAGAGGGAGGUGGAAUUUCAGGUGUAGCGGUGGAAUGCGCAGAUAUCUGAAGGAACACCAGUGGCGAAAGCGGCCUCCUGGACCAUUCCUGACACUCAGACGCGAAAGCUAGGGUAGCAAACG